rnacentral:lncRNA from 1 species
GAUGAGUGUCACUAGGAGAAGCUUCGAGGUCAUCAGUGUGACAUCAGACUAUGCUGGGACACUGGCCGGCCAAUCUGGUUGCAGCUCUCAGGGAAACUCCUCCCAGCCAAGUAGCUCCUCCCUCCUCCGGAGCUCCUCACGCUUCAGGGUGAUCCGAUUGGCCACUGGGCGGGCGGAGCCCUAUUGCCGCGGGCGAUGGACCUGCAGGGACUUCCUGGAGAGUGAAGAGGGGGCGGGGCUUAGGAGGAUGAUGGAAAGCAUGAGACACGCCCACUCACUGGAGUCCCUGGACAUCAUCCGUCAGCUUCCUCUACGGAAAGGGGAGGGGCUCCAUGUUCUCGCCCAGAGACCAAUCAAAACGGAUAUGAGACCAUUCAGAGGCCUGCAGCCAAUCGGGCUGCCCCUUCUUGACUCUAUCCAGCCAAUAGAGGACUCCGCUCUGCCACCACGGCUACUCAAUAUCCCUGUUCUCCAAUUGGACACCAAUGCUCAGUCUGAGCGAGUGUGUCUCCACCGACCUGAAGAUGGUUUGUUCAACCCCAGCCAAACAGUGUCCAUACUCGACCACACCAUGUUCAGCAUUUCAGCGGAAACCAGUGAUGCUGGUCUGGACCUGAACACCAUCGAUACCAAGAUCCAACAGGCCAUGGUAGGACUUCAUGUAAUUGAACUGUUCUGCUCCUUCUCUCCCUGCCUUCCUCCCUGGUUCUCCCCCUUGUUCUCUCCUCUCUCUCUCUCUCUCUCUCUCUCUCUCUCUCUCUCUCUCUCUCUCUCUCUCUCUCUCUCUCUCUCUCUCUCUCUCUCUCAUGCUCUCUCUCUCUCACGCCCUCUCUCUCCCACGCUCUUUCUCUCACGCUCUCACUCUAUGUUUAUAUAUGUAUGA